AAAUAAAUUUUUACAGUUUGAAGAUUUUAAUUUAAGUUUAUUUUACAUAUAAAUUAUAGUGUUGUUUUUUAAUUAUUUUAAUAAUUAAUUAAUAAAUAUUCAGUAGUAAUUAAAAUUAAAAAUUUAAGAAAUUAAGAUUUAGUAAUAUUUUAUAUUAUUAACAAAUUUUGUGCCAGCAGUUGCGGUUAAACAAAAGAUAAUUUAAAUUUUAUCAAUAUAUAAUAAAUAUUAAUUAAUAAAAAUAAAAUAAUAAAUUAUUAAGUGAAAUUUUAAUUUAUUCAAAAUUUUUUUAUAAUAUAUGAAUUAGUAAAUUUUAUAAAAAACUAGGAUUAGAUACCCUAUUAUUAAAAAUUAAAUGAAUAUAUUAAAAUAGUAUAUAAUUAUUUAUAGAAAUUUAAGUAAUUUGGCGGUAUUUUAGUUUAUUUAGAGGAAUCUGUCUAAUAAUUGAUAAUCCACGAAUAAAUUUACUUAAUUAAUAAAUUUUGUAUAUCGUUGUAUAAAAAAUAUUUUUCAUAAAAAAUAAUAUUUUAAAAUUUAUAAUAAAAAUUAAUUCAGAUCAAGAUGCAGAUUAUAAUUAAGAAUAUGAUGGAUUACAAUAAUAAUAAUAAUUAAAUGGAUAUUAUUUUGAAAAAAAUAAUUAAAGGUGGAUUUAAAUGUAAUUUUAUUUAGUUUAAUAAAAUGAUUUUAUAUUAAAAUAUGUACAUAUUGCCCGUCGCUUUCAUUUAUAAAUUGGAAUAAGUCGUAACAAAGUAGGGAUACUGGAAAGUGUUCCUAGAAAGAA
rnacentral:ncRNA from 1 species